UGGACAUUUACGAUACUUCUCCAAUUACUUGCGCCGAGAUCAACUUGUGCCGCCUAAUAAACACUUUCUUACUUAUUAAGAGGCGGUCGAAAAUUUUGUGGAAACAGGAUUUUUUUUUUGAGCAAUCGGAAAAUACGGGAAUACGACUCGAUUUCUGUUGUAUAUUGAGCGAAUGAAAGAUAUAUUUGUAUUUGAUACAAAUAUUUUCGUCUCACUUGCGCCACGGAAUUUCUCUGACUUUCUGCGGUACAAUAUAUGUAUACCACAAAUUACGGCUCAUGAUGUAUAUACUUCGGCAGAGCUUUCCAAAGACGUUUGAAAUGCCAAGGUGUGUUAAGAGAGAGUUAUUCCUCUAAUAAUUCUCAAAAGUACUCACUUCGUUACACAAUAUUCCUUAACACUAAGAAUAAUUUUUUCAGAGCAAAACUGAUCGUUGAGAAAAAUUUGAGGGAAAAAAGUUACUCUGGAACAAAAGUUAUUUCACAACACAAUGCCCACUCCAGUGAUGAGAAAUACCCUCUCAAGUGUUUCGCUCUCUCAAACGGAUUUACACCUUUGGCCUUUAAUUAAUUAA